rnacentral:lncRNA from 1 species
ACCUCUGAAGUUAAAGCAGGAACAUGGUGCCUAAAGGGGGUUAAGUAACAAAAAUGGUGAAAAUAUGCUAUAGUUUAGAACUUGUUAGGGGUUUAAUUAACAAAGUGGUAAAAACAUGCUAUUGUUUGAACUUGUUCUAAGAAAAAUAAACCGCACCUUAGUGAUAUAGUUUCUUGUUUCUUCUAUUCAAGAUCAUUCAUUUCUCAGACAUUCCAAACACAAGUUGGUCAUCACCUGAGAGAUGGAAGUGUUUUUAAGUCAGCAACCUCGAAUAACUCUAAAAAUUGAGAAGCUGAGGACUAUCUUGAAAAUUAUAUAUUCAAAUCAUUGGAUUAAGAACUUUGUGCUCAUACCAGAUUACAAGAAG